rnacentral:rRNA from 1 species
AGAGAGAGACAUGCGCGCAUAUCAAUAAGCGGAGGAAAAGAAACUAACUAGGAUUCCCUCAGUAACGGCGAGUGAAGCGGGAAGAGCUCAAAUUUGAAAUCUUCAAGGUUCUACCUUGACGAAUUGUAGUUUAAAGAAGUGUUUUCUGUUGGAGUUUUGGUAAAAGUUCUUUGGAAUAGGACAUCAUAGAGGGUGAGAAUCCCGUAUUUGACCAUUAUUUUCAGCUGUGUGAUACACUUUCAAAGAGUCGGAUUGUUUGGGAAUGCAGUCCAAAAUGGGUGGUAAAUUUCAUCUAAAGCUAAAUAUUGGCGAGAGACCGAUAGCGAACAAGUACCGUGAGGGAAAGAUGAAAAGAACUUUGAAAAGAGAGUUAGACAGUACGUGAAAUUGUCAAAAGGGAAGCGUUUGACAUCAGUGUUGUUUUUCUGAAAAUCAAUUAAAGAACUGUUUAUGCUAAGCUGUUUAGACUUUAUCAGCUAACUGUUUAGUUUUGAGCUUUUCUUUAAUGCACUUUUCAGUUAACAAGUCAACAUCAAUUUCUUUUGCUGUAAAAAAGCUUGAGGAAGGUGGCUUGAGAUUCGUCUUAAGUGUUUAUAGCCUCUUGCCUAUGCAGUCGGAGAGAUUGAGGUCUGCAGCGUAGAUCCUUCGGGGCUAAAUGCAUUUGUGCUAAGUUAUAGCAUUUUAUAGACAACUUGUUGACUAUGAUUUGUCUUGUAGCUUACUCGCUUAUGUUAUUUUACCUACGCUUAGGAUGUUGAUGUGAUACUGCGAGCA